UACGUAGGUGGCAAGCGUUGUCCGGAAUUAUUGGGCGUAAAGCGCGCGCAGGCGGUCCUUUAAGUCUGAUGUGAAGGCCCACGGCUCAACCGUGGAGGGUCAUUGGAAACUGGGGGACUUGAGUACAGAAGAGGAAAGCGGAAUUCCACGUGUAGCGGUGAAAUGCGUAGAGAUGUGGAGGAACACCAGUGGCGAAGGCGGCUUUCUGGUCUGUAACUGACGCUGAGGCGCGAAAGCGUGGGGAGCAAACAGG
rnacentral:rRNA from 1 species